rnacentral:rRNA from 1 species
GAUGAACGCUGGCGGCGUGCCUAAUACAUGCAAGUCGAGCGAACGGACGAGAAGCUUGCUUCUCUGAUGUUAGCGGCGGACGGGUGAGUAACACGUGGAUAACCUACCUAUAAGACUGGGAUAACUUCGGGAAACCGGAGCUAAUACCGGAUAAUAUUUUGAACCGCAUGGUUCAAAAGUGAAAGACGGUCUUGCUGUCACUUAUAGAUGGAUCCGCGCUGCAUUAGCUAGUUGGUAAGGUAACGGCUUACCAAGGCAACGAUGCAUAGCCGACCUGAGAGGGUGAUCGGCCACACUGGAACUGAGACACGGUCCAGACUCCUACGGGAGGCAGCAGUAGGGAAUCUUCCGCAAUGGGCGAAAGCCUGACGGAGCAACGCCGCGUGAGUGAUGAAGGUCUUCGGAUCGUAAAACUCUGUUAUUAGGGAAGAACAUAUGUGUAAGUAACUGUGCACAUCUUGACGGUACCUAAUCAGAAAGCCACGGCUAACUACGUGCCAGCAGCCGCGGUAAUACGUAGGUGGCAAGCGUUAUCCGGAAUUAUUGGGCGUAAAGCGCGCGUAGGCGGUUUUUUAAGUCUGAUGUGAAAGCCCACGGCUCAACCGUGGAGGGCCAUUGGAAACUGGAAAACUUGAGUGCAGAAGAGGAAAAGUGGAAUUCCAUGUGUAGCGGUGAAAUGCGCAGAGAUAUGGAGGACACCCAGUGGCGAAGGCGACUUUCUGGUCUGUAACUGACGCUGAUGUGCGAAAGCGUGGGGAUCAAACAGGAUUAGAUACCCUGGUAGUCCACGCCGUAAACGAUGAGUGCUAAGUGUUAGGGGGUUUCCGCCCCUUAGUGCUGCAGCUAACGCAUUAAGCACUCCGCCUGGGGAGUACGACCGCAAGGUUGAAACUCAAAGGAAUUGACGGGGACCCGCACAAGCGGUGGAGCAUGUGGUUUAAUUCGAAGCAACGCGAAGAACCUUACCAAAUCUUGACAUCCUUUGACAACUCUAGAGAUAGAGCCUUCCCCUUCGGGGGACAAAGUGACAGGUGGUGCAUGGUUGUCGUCAGCUCGUGUCGUGAGAUGUUGGGUUAAGUCCCGCAACGAGCGCAACCCUUAAGCUUAGUUGCCAUCAUUAAGUUGGGCACUCUAAGUUGACUGCCGGUGACAAACCGGAGGAAGGUGGGGAUGACGUCAAAUCGUCAUGCCCCUUAUGAUUUGGGCUACACACGUGCUACAAUGGACAAUACAAAGGGCAGCGAAACCGCGAGGUCAAGCAAAUCCCAUAAAGUUGUUCUCAGUUCGGAUUGUAGUCUGCAACUCGACUACAUGAAGCUGGAAUCGCUAGUAAUCGUAGAUCAGCAUGCUACGGUGAAUACGUUCCCGGGUCU